ACCUCCAGCAUUUCUAAGCCCUGGUCCAGGGGGUAACACCCACUUCUGGCACUCCAGCCUUGCUUCUUUACCAUUUCUGCUGCCAGGAGGCUGUUGGUCACAUCAACCGACCCUGAGUCCACUGACCUCCAACCUGCUCUCUUUCAUUAGCUCAUGGGACUGGGCUGGGAAGCUUGGGAAUGCAGGUCUGUGUGGGGAGGCUACAUGUUCAUCAGUGCACUGAUAGGCCAGGUCCAGAGUACAUCCUCAAGGCACACAAGCUGAGGAAUCCCAGCACUCAGGUGGGACUGCCAAUUCCGGUUUUCGCUGCCCGCAGAUGACUCGGAAGUGACGUCAUCCCGAAGUCGCGGCCCGGAGCCUUCACAAGGGAAAUACCUGCUGUGUAAUGCCAGUAGUGACGCGAAGAAUAAGGGCCAGCUACUGUAGACCUGCCCUCAACUAUACUCGGGACUGCCUCGGAAGGUCAUGUGUGCUCCAGCCGCAAGGACUUACCAUUCCACAGCUACGGGCCCAGCUUCCAGCGCUGGAGACCGGAAGUACUCGCGGGUGGGCGGAACGGAGUCCGGAAGUGGGAAUGAGGGACGCGUAUUUGGUAAGGUUGUGACUCUGCUCGGACCGGAUGCCCUGAAAAGAUGCUUACGGGACACCAAGUCUUCGUCUUUGCCUUGAGUUCUCAAUGGAUUUCAGUUAUACGUCCCCAUUUUUUUACCUUGUAGGAUGUAAUCAGUGAUUAAAUAUAUUCUAAACUCUUGUUAGGAGCCAGGUAUCGAGCUGGGCAAAUGGACAGAAUCGCUACUUUCCCCCAACCCACCCCUUGGAGCCCCGCCCCGCCGAUGGCUAUGAUCCCACAACUCGUUGGCGUUUCCCCUGUGUAAAAUGACUACUCUGCUUUCAAGGAAAUAAGAAGAAGAAAAAAAAAACAGUUUAUCCUGAGUCAAAUAUGAAUGACCAUGGCCUGGGAA